UGGGGAAUAUUGGACAAUGGGCGCAAGCCUGAUCCAGCCAUGCCGCGUGAGUGAUGAAGGCCUUCGGGUCGUAAAGCUCUGUGGGGAGGGACGAAAGGCCAAGGAGCUAAUACCUCUUGGUUUGACGGUACUUCCUUAGCAAGCACCGGCUAACUCCGUGCCAGCAGCCGCGGUAAUACGGAGGGUGCAAACGUUGCUCGGAAUCAUUGGGCGUAAAGCGCACGUAGGCGGCUUGUUAAGUCGGAUGUGAAAGCCCCGGGCUCAACCCGGGAAGGGCAUACGAAACUGGCAAGCUUGAGUAUGGAAGAGGGUCUCGGAAUUCCCGGUGUAGAGGUGAAAUUCGUAGAUAUCGGGAGGAACACCAGUGGCGAAGGCGGAGACCUGGGCCAAUACUGACGCUGAGGUGCGAAAGCGUGGGGAGCAAACAGGAUUAGAUACCCCCGUAGUCC
rnacentral:rRNA from 1 species